CGAAUGCAGAUGUGUUAAUAAUUUUUAUUGAUUUUAAAUUUUCUAUUUCACACAAAUAAAAAAUAUUUUUUUAUAAAUAUUUACCGAUAAAAUAACAGUUUGAACUUAAUUGAAUUAAAAUUAAAAUUAAGUUAUAAAGGGUUUAUUUGAUCUAUUAUAAAAACUGAAGGGUUUAUUUGAUUUUCAAUUUUGUUUACGGGCUUAUUAGACUAUUUGAUAUUAGUUUAAGGGCCACAAGAGACAUUUUGCUUGAAAAAAGGUCCAAUAAUAUUUUGCUCAGUUUAGAAACUUUUUUCCAUAACCAACUGCUAGAGAUUGACUCCCUGUAUCAACAACUCCCUCACGGAUACGAGACUUUUGAAGUUCUAGUUGAUUAGUCACAAGGGUGGGGAACUGGAAUUAGCAAUUACAAUGAAAAGAAAAGAACAUAAAUACAGGAGAAAAAGCAAUUACUGUAUUUUUACCUGUCAAAGUCUCUG
rnacentral:misc_RNA from 1 species